GCGAGUCGAGAGGGUUCGGCCCUCGGCAGACUGCUCAGUAACACGUGGAGAACUUGCCCUGCGCUGGAGGAUACCCUCGGGAAACUGAGUCUAAUACUCCAUAGCCCCGCCGUCCUGGAACGGUGGUGGGGUGAAAGCUCCGGCGGCGCAGGAUAGCUCUGCGGCCUAUCAGGUCGUAGCGAGGGUAACGUCCUCGCUAGCCUUCGACGGGUAUGGGUGUUGGGAGACAUCGCCCAGAGAUGGAUUCUGAGACACGAAUCCAGGUCCUACGGGACGCAGCAGGCGCGAAAACUGCACAAUGUGGGAAACCACGAUGCGGGAAACCCAAGUGCCAGCACUAUGUGUUGGCUGUCCUCGACUGUUCGUAAGUCGGGAAGAAAGAGCUGGGUAAGACGGGUGCCAGCCGCCGCGGUAAUACCCGCAGCUCAAGUGGUGGUCAUUAUUAUUGGGCCUAAAGCGUCCGUAGCUGGCCUGUUAGAUGCCUGGGUAAAUCGAUGCGCUCAACGUAUCGAAUUCCGGGUAGACCGGCAGGCUCGAGACCGGGAGAGGUGUAGGCUACUCGCGGGGUAGGGGUAAAAUCCUGUAAUCCUGCGGGGAGGACCAGUGG
rnacentral:rRNA from 1 species